CUUAACACAUGCAAGUCGAACGGAAAGGCCCUGCUUGCAGGGUACUCGAGUGGCGAACGGGUAAGUAACACGUGGGUGAUCUGCCCUGUACUUUGGGAUAAGCCUGGGAAACUGGGUCUGAUACCGAAUAUGACCACUUCUUGGAUGGGGUGGUGGAAAGCUUUUGCGGUAUGGGAUGAGCUCGCGGCCUAUCAGCUUGUUGGUGGGGUAAUGGCCUACCAAGGCGUCGACGGGUAGCCGGCCUGAGAGGGUGUACGGCCACAUUGGGACUGAGAUACGGCCCAGACUCCUACGGGAGGCAGCAGUGGGGAAUAUUGCACAAUGGGCGCAAGCCUGAUGCAGCGACGCCGCGUGGGGGAUGACGGCCUUCGGGUUGUAAACUCCUUUCGCAACCGACGAAGCUUUUGUGACGGUAGGUUGAGAAGAAGCACCGGCUAACUACGUGCCAGCCGCCGCGGUAA
rnacentral:rRNA from 1 species